UACGUAGGGUGCGAGCGUUAAUCGGAAUUACUGGGCGUAAAGCGUGCGCAGGCGGCUAUUUAAGCUUGCUGUGAAAGCCCCGGGCUUAACCUGGGAACUGCAGUGAGGACUGGAUGGCUGGAGUGUGGCAGAGGGGGGUGGAAUUCCACGUGUAGCAGUGAAAUGCGUAGAGAUGUGGAGGAAUACCGAUGGCGAAGGCAGCCUCCUGGGCCAACACUGACGCUCAUGCACGAAAGCGUGGGGAGCAAACAGG
rnacentral:rRNA from 1 species